AUUGAACGCUGGCGGCAUGCCUAACACAUGCAAGUCGAACGAGUGGCGGACGGGUGAGUAAUGUGUCGGAACUUGCCCUAUGGCGGGGGUUAACUCCUGGAAACGGUGGCUAAUACCGCAUACCUUUCGCUUAUCCCAGAUUGGAUUAGCUAGUUGGUGGGGGAAAGGCUCACAAAGGCCACGAUCCCUAGCUGGUCUGAGAGGGUGACCAGCCACACUGGGACUGAGACACGGCCCAGACUCCUACGGGAGGCAGCAGUGGGGAAUAUUGGACAAUGGGCGAAAGCCUGAUCCAGCCAUGCCGCGUGUAUGAAGAAGGCCUUCGGGUUGUAAAGUACUUUUGGCAGAGAAGCGGUAUCUGCAGAAGAAGCACCGGCUAACUACGUGCCAGCAGCCGCGGUAAUUC
rnacentral:rRNA from 1 species